CCGAUGGAGGGGGAUAACUACUGGAAACGGUAGCUAAUACCGCAUAACGUCGCAAGACCAAAGAGGGGGACCUUCGGGCCUCUGCCAUCGGAUGUGCCCAGAUGGGAUUAGCUAGUAGGUGGGGUAAAGGCUCACCUAGGCGACGAUCCCUAGCUGGUCUGAGAGGAUGACCAGCCACACUGGAACUGAGACACGGUCCAG
rnacentral:rRNA from 1 species